rnacentral:rRNA from 1 species
GGAUGAACGCUAGCGGCAGGCCUAACACAUGCAAGUCGAGGGGUAACAGAGAGAAGCUUGCUUUUCUGCUGACGACCGGCGCACGGGUGAGUAACGCGUAUACAAUCUGCCUUAUACAGAGGGAUAGCCUUUAGAAAUGAAGAUUAAUACCUUAUAGUCUAUUUUUAUAGCAUUAUAUAAAUAGUAAAGCUUCGGUGGUAUAAGAUGAGUAUGCGUCCUAUUAGUUAGUUGGUAAGGUAACGGCUUACCAAGACAACGAUAGGUAGGGGCCCUGAGAGGGGGAUCCCCCACACUGGUACUGAGACACGGACCAGACUCCUACGGGAGGCAGCAGUGAGGAAUAUUGGACAAUGGAGGCAACUCUGAUCCAGCCAUGCCGCGUGCAGGAAGACGGCCCUAUGGGUUGUAAACUGCUUUUAUAUAGGAAGAAACCUUUUCACGUGUGAGAAGCUGACGGUACUAUAAGAAUAAGGACCGGCUAACUCCGUGCCAGCAGCCGCGGUAAUACGGAGGGUCCGAGCGUUAUCCGGAAUCAUUGGGUUUAAAGGGUCCGUAGGCGGGAAUCUAAGUCAGUGGUGAAAUCUUGCAGCUCAACUGUAAAAUUGCCAUUGAUACUGGAUUUCUUGAAUUUAGUGUGAAGUGAUUAGAAUGUGUAGUGUAGCGGUGAAAUGCAUAGAUAUUACACAGAAUACCAAUUGCGAAGGCAGAUCACUAACACUAUAUUGACGCUGAGGGACGAAAGCGUGGGGAGCGAACAGGAUUAGAUACCCUGGUAGUCCACGCCGUAAACGAUGGAUACUAGCUGUUCGAUCUUUGGAUUGAGUGGCUAAGCGAAAGUGAUAAGUAUCCCACCUGGGGAGUACGUUCGCAAGAAUGAAACUCAAAGGAAUUGACGGGGGCCCGCACAAGCGGUGGAGCAUGUGGUUUAAUUCGAUGAUACGCGAGGAACCUUACCAGGGCUUAAAUGUAGUCUGACAGCUUUAGAGAUAGAGUUUUCUUCGGACAGAUUACAAGGUGCUGCAUGGUUGUCGUCAGCUCGUGCCGUGAGGUGUCAGGUUAAGUCCUAUAACGAGCGCAACCCCUGUUGUUAGUUGCCAGCGAGUAAUGUCGGGAACUCUAACAAGACUGCCGGUGCAAACCGUGAGGAAGGUGGGGAUGACGUCAAAUCAUCACGGCCCUUACGUCCUGGGCCACACACGUGCUACAAUGGUAUGGACAAUGAGCAGCCAUCUGGCAACAGAGCGCGAAUCUACAAACCAUAUCACAGUUCGGAUCGGAGUCUGCAACUCGACUCCGUGAAGCUGGAAUUACUAGUAAUCGUGGAUCAGCGUGCCACGGUGAAUGCGUUCCCGGGUCUUGUACUCACCGCC